UUUGCUAAGUUUGAUGGCGACCGGCGCACGGGUGAGUAACACGUAUCCAACCUGCCGAUGACUCGGGGAUAGCCUUUCGAAAGAAAGAUUAAUACCCGAUGGCAUAGUUCUUCCGUAUGGUGGAACUAUUAAAGAAUUUCGGUCAUCGAUGGGGAUGCGUUCCAUUAGGUUGUUGGCGGGGUAACGGCCCACCAAGCCUUCGAUGGAUAGGGGUUCUGAGAGGAAGGUCCCCCACAUUGGAACUGAGACACGGUCCAAACUCCUACGGGAGGCAGCAUG
rnacentral:rRNA from 1 species